UCGUGGUAUAAUGGUUAGCAGUUUAGGCUCACAACCUAAUGAUCUCGGGUUAGAAUCCUGGACAAGGAAGAA